rnacentral:rRNA from 1 species
GAUGAACGCUAGCGGCAGGCUUAAUACAUGCAAGUCGAGGGGUAACAGGAGAGCUUGCUCUUGCUGACGACCGGCAUACGGGUGCGUAACGCGUAUGGAACCUACCUAUUACUGAGGGAUAGCCCGUGGAAACAUGGAUUAAUACCUCAUGGUACUAUCGAUUGGCAUCGAUUGAUAGUUAAAGAAUUUUGGUAAUAGAUGGCCAUGCGUAUCAUUAGCUAGUUGGUGAGGUAAUGGCUCACCAAGGCGACGAUGAUUAGGGGAACUGAGAGGUUGAUCCCCCACACUGGUACUGAGACACGGACCAGACUCCUACGGGAGGCAGCAGUAAGGAAUAUUGGUCAAUGGGGGCAACCCUGAACCAGCCAUGCCGCGUGCAGGAAGACGGCUUUCUGAGUUGUAAACUGCUUUUAUAUAAGAAGAAAAGGCUAUGCGUAGCUCUAUGACGGUAUUAUAUGAAUAAGGACCGGCUAACUCCG